CGAACACAGCUUACAACCUUCAUCGUACUGUGCUCUCCAAAGAGCAACUCUUCUCAAAAUCUCAAAAGGUGCUGAGUUUUAAUCCCAUUCUAAGGAUUCUUGUGGUUACUGGUACUCCUGUAGUUGGAUUCUCCCAUAG